CUUGAGGUCGGUAAGAAUAAAUUCUUGCUUGGAAUGUGUUAGUCUCUUUCACUUUGUAAACUCCUUUAAUCUAUCACUCACACUAAAAAUGAUCGCAUGUAAAGUAAAAAAUCAUCAGUAACACACGGAAUAAGUUGAAAAAAGUAUAAAGGGGCUCCAGCACACUACUUUGCCUGGGGGCCUAUGAUGCUGUUAAGAAUGCCCUGAGCACACUGGACCCUAAACAGGACUGGAUAUAUAUAGUGAUGUACAGCUGGCAGCUCACCCCAGCUGGGACGCCCCUGGCAUGGAAGGAUGGGAGAAGACAGCUACCUGCCAACAUUACUUCCCCAAAAACGCUAGAUGGCAGCUCCUCUGGAGUGUAGCAGGGCAUCCUGGGACUUCAUUUGGUUACUCAGCCCUGUUGGGUGCCACCAGGGAGAGCUGUUGAAGGACCUAGGAACUCAUCCUUCCCUUAAAGCCCGUAAGUACGAGGUAGUCAUGAGGACAGAAUCCCCGAAGUACGCCCGGGCUGAAGAAAAUGUGAUUUCUUCAUUAGACCCGGAAGUGCCGGCCAGUAACGUGGUCGGAAGGAAAGAAGCAUUUCUGGGUCAAGGACUAUUUAAAGGACUGAUGUGAACCCAGCAAAGGAGCUGGAGUUGGGAGGUAGA